rnacentral:rRNA from 1 species
CAGCAGCCGCGGUAAUACGUAGGGUGCGAGCGUUAAUCGGAAUUACUGGGCGUAAAGCGUGCGUAGGUGGUGGUUUAAGUCCGCUGUGAAAGCCCUGGGCUCAACCUGGGAAUUGCAGUGGAUACUGGGUCACUAGAGUGUGGUAGAGGAUAGUGGAAUUUCCGGUGUAGCAGUGAAAUGCGUAGAGAUCUGGAGGAAUACCGGUGGCGAAGGCGGCCCCCUGGACAAAGACUGACGCUCAGGUGCGAAAGCGUGGGGAGCAAACAGGAUUAGAUACCCGGGUAGUCCCUGUCUCUUAUAC